rnacentral:rRNA from 1 species
CCUACGUGAGGCAGCAGUGAGGAAUAUUGGUCAAUGGACGCAAGUCUGAACCAGCCAUGCCGCGUGCAGGAAGACGGCUCUAUGAGUUGUAAACUGCUUUUGUACGAGGGUAAACGCAGAUACGCGUAUCUGUCUGAAAGUAUCGUACGAAUAAGGAUCGGCUAACUCCGUGCCAGCAGCCGCGGUAAUACGGAGGAUUCAAGCGUUAUCCGGAUUUAUUGGGUUUAAAGGGUGCGUAGGCGGUCGGAUAAGUUAGAGGUGAAAUCCCGAGGCUCAACUUCGGAAUUGCCUCUGAUACUGUUCGGCUAGAGAGUAGUUGCGGUAGGCGGAAUGUAUGGUGUAGCGGUGAAAUGCUUAGAGAUCAUACAGAACACCGAUUGCGAAGGCAGCUUACCGGCGCCGAACUGACGCUGAAGCACGAAAGCGUGGGUAUCGAACAGGAUUUGAUACCCCUGUAGUC